UUUUGUAGAUCAGAGGUAAGAGUGUUUGCCUAGUUUGCAUGAGGCCCUGGGUUCAAUCCCCAGGACUGAAAA
rnacentral:tRNA from 1 species